AUUGAACGCUGGCGGCAUGCUUUACACAUGCAAGUCGAACGGCAGCGCGGGCUUCGGCCUGGCGGCGAGUGGCGAACGGGUGAGUAAUGCAUCGGAACGUGCCCAGUAGUGGGGGAUAGCCCGGCGAAAGCCGGAUUAAUACCGCAUACGACCUGAUGGUGAAAGCGGGGGGCCGAAAGGCCUCGCGCUAUUUGAGCGGCCGAUGUCGGAUUAGCUAGUUGGUGGGGUAAAGGCUUACCAAGGCGACGAUCCGUAGCUGGUCUGAGAGGACGACCAGCCACACUGGGACUGAGACACGGCCCAGACUCCUACGGGAGGCAGCAGUGGGGAAUUUUGGACAAUGGGGGCAACCCUGAUCCAGCCAUGCCGCGUGCGGGAAGAAGGCCUUCGGGUUGUAAACCGCUUUUGUUCGGGAAGAAAUCCUCUGGGCUAAUACCCCGGGGGGAUGACGGUACCGGAAGAAUAAGCACCGGCUAACUACGUG
rnacentral:rRNA from 1 species